GUAACUUAUUUGUAUUGUUUUGCACUCAUAAAGCACAUGAUAACUUUUGAGCAAACAAUUUCUAAUGGUAAAAUAGACAAUUUCUUUUAGGUAUUUAAAUUCAUGUCAACUUCUCCUAUAUAAGUCAUGAAUCAUUUUCUAUGUGUAGAAAAAACAAGACUCGGAUGCUAAAAGUAAACUAAAAAUAUGGAACCAAUACACCUCUUUUGCAAGCUUAUAUUCCACUAUUGUUAAUUCUAGCACUAGUAUUGAACUGUGAAGUAGGUGAAACUGUGAUUUGUUAUGGACAAAAUGGUCAUGAAGGGACAUAUGUUUGCUCUAUCAUAUUUUAUUUGUUGCUCUAAGAUUAUAUGUCAAUUCAUAAAAUGCUUCUCAAUUGUUUUCAAAAUUUUUGAGCUGAAAGUAACUUUUUGCUUUUGCUUUAACAUAGGAAUGAUAUAUCUGAUUUGUGAAAAUUAAUAUGGGGCUAGGCCAAGCAGUAGCAUAUCAAGAGUACUAGAGAACUGUUAGUUAUAAAGACAGCCCUUCUGGAGCAAGGGAUCUCUAACUCUGGAAUCUCUUUGCUCAUUUUAAAUUUUGAACCUCAAAUAACUCUUUCGAUUAAGUGUGUUCGAAGUGGAAUAAAGUACAUGUGCCAGACUAUCCAAAACUUUUGUUUUUCAAUUUAGUUAGAGACACAUAAUUUGGUUAUUUAGUGUCUGACAUCAUCUAUACAGUUGAUAAAUAUCCAUACUUGUGUCCUUGUUCAUAACUGAAUCGUUCACACUCUGCAGUAUAUACGUGUGAUUCUGUGAGGGAUAGAAUUGCCUUCAAUUGACAGGUACUAGAUGGACUCUAUAGUUUUGCAGUAGGUAUUGGACGUCAUCUCAUUAACGCAUUACUAUUUCUUGCUUGACAGAUUAGCUUUGGUAAUAUUAUCAAAAAAGCAAGUCCCUCGGCCAUCCAUCCUUGAAACAAUGUCCUUUGAGGCACAAGACUUGAUUGACAGGUGCGCAAAUGAAUAAAAGGGUAGACGAAUCCAGUGAAGACCUUCUACAGUAUUGGUUGAUUGUUGCUAGGAAUCUUUUAUUUUUGAACAUUUUACAGACUUAUGUAUGCUAACUCUUGAAUUCUCAAAGUAUAUUAUAUAUUUUGCCUUUACGGAUA